rnacentral:lncRNA from 1 species
UAGACUGUUCUUUCCUCUUUGGUGGCUUCGGUUGUGGUAGGGCCCUUGAUCGAUCCUCCCUACCUUCAGACCGACGUCGGAUGAAUUUGUCGAGCCGACCCCGCCUGAUGAGCUCCUCGAUUUCAUCUCAGAGUUGAAUACACUCCUCCAUGUCAUGGCCGUGGUCACGAUGAUAGAGGUAGAAUUUGUUUGGGUUAUACUUUUCAGGGUGCAAG